GUCUACGGCCAUACCACCCUGAACGCGCCCGAUCUCGUCUGAUCUCAGAAGCUAAGCAGGGUCGGGCCUGGUUAGUACUUGGGUGGGAGAGAACCUGGAGUCAAGAGUUGGAGCUGAGAAUU
rnacentral:rRNA from 1 species